rnacentral:lncRNA from 10 species
ACGUUGGCUUCCUUUCUUCGGAUUAAGUGGUUGUUCAGAGAGAGGCUGAGUCUGAUUGUUUACACAAGAAGGAAGUGAACACUGGCUGUGUGCCUGGCACUGUUAGGAGCCAUCAAACCAUGUCCAGAAAGGACGCAGGGAAAGGAGAUGUCGAUGUUUCCAGACAUUUUGUGAUGUGAAGAGAGCGCCUGAAGGUUUUUGAUGAUGCUUAACUCACGUGCUUUGCUUAAAGAACUGCAGGGACUGACCUGAAACGCUAAGCAUGGAAUCCAGGUUGCAGAACAUCCCACUCUGGAAAGAAGGCUGAGCCGUUCAUCUGUAUUCCUGUUGCAAUCAAGCUAAUGCCAGCCAGACCACCAGGUGGCCCAUUAUUCAAGACAGUCAUUGAGACUAGACAGACUGACCA